rnacentral:rRNA from 1 species
GACGUAGGGCGCGAGCGUUGUCCGGAUUUAUUGGGCGUAAAGAGCGUGUAGGCGGCCAUACAGGUCAGCUGUGAAAACUCGAGGCUCAACCUCGAGACGUCGGUUGAAACCGUACGGCUAGAGUCCGGAAGAGGAGAGUGGAAUUCCCGGUGUAGCGGUGAAAUGCGCAGAUAUCGGGAAGAACACCCGUGGCGAAGGCGGCUCUCUGGGACGGUACUGACGCUGAGACGCGAAAGCGUGGGGAGCGAACAGG